GACGAACGCUGGCGGCGCGCUUAACACAUGCAAGUCGAGCGGUAAGGCUCCUUCGGGAGUACACGAGCGGCGAACGGGUGAGUAACACGUGAGUAAUCUGCCCUUCACUUCGGGAUAACCACCGGAAACGGUGGCUAAUACCGAAUACGACCAGUCUUCGCAUGAGGUGCUGGUGGAAAGUCUUUUCGGUGAAGGAUGUGCUCGCGGCCUAUCAGCUUGUUGGUGGGGUAAUGGCCUACCAAGGCUUCGACGGGUAGCCGGCCUGAGAGGGUGACCGGCCACACUGGGACUGAGACACGGCCCAGACUCCUACGGGAGGCAGCAGUGGGGAAUAUUGGACAAUGGGCGAAAGCCUGAUCCAGCAACGCCGCGUGAGGGAUGACGGCCUUCGGGUUGUAAACCUCGUUCAGUACCGACGAAGCGCCCUGUCGGGUGGUGACGGUAGGUACAGAAGAAGGACCGGCCAACUACGUG
rnacentral:rRNA from 1 species